rnacentral:rRNA from 1 species
UGAGCUUGAUCCCUGGCUCAGGAUGAACGCUGGCGGCGUGCUUAACACAUGCAAGUCGAACGAUGAUCCCAGCUUGCUGGGGGAUUAGUGGCGAACGGGUGAGUAACACGUGAGUAACCUGCCCUUAACUCUGGGAUAAGCCUGGGAAACUGGGUCUAAUACCGGAUAUGACUCCUCAUCGCAUGGUGGGGGGUGGAAAGCUUUAUUGUGGUUUUGGAUGGACUCGCGGCCUAUCAGCUUGUUGGUGAGGUAAUGGCUCACCAAGGCGACGACGGGUAGCCGGCCUGAGAGGGUGACCGGCCACACUGGGACUGAGACACGGCCCAGACUCCUACGGGAGGCAGCAGUGGGGAAUAUUGCACAAUGGGCGAAAGCCUGAUGCAGCGACGCCGCGUGAGGGAUGACGGCCUUCGGGUUGUAAACCUCUUUCAGUAGGGAAGAAGCGAAAGUGACGGUACCUGCAGAAGAAGCGCCG